rnacentral:rRNA from 1 species
UACGUAGGUGGCAAGCGUUGUCCGGAAUUAUUGGGCGUAAAGCGCGCGCAGGCGGUCCUUUAAGUCUGAUGUGAAAGCCCACGGCUUAACCGUGGAGGGUCAUUGGAAACUGAGGGACUUGAGUACAGAAGAGGAGAGUGGAAUUCCACGUGUAGCGGUGAAAUGCGUAGAGAUGUGGAGGAACACCAGUGGCGAAGGCGACUCUCUGGUCUGUAACUGACGCUGAGGCGCGAAAGCAUGGGUAGCGAACAGG